rnacentral:ncRNA from 2 species
CAGCAGGUCGGUGCCCCUAAAAGCAGGUAUCCGCUAAAGAGUGUGUUAAAACUCACCUGCCGAUUACUAGGGCCCCGAAAAUGAAUGGCGCAUAUAGUACUACCGAUCUCAGACAUCAGUUCUAUGAACUGAGAGUAGGGGGAUGUGGACAUUUUUGUGAAGGUGCAAUGUGAGUUGGACUGGAAGAAUGUCUAUUACAGAUCCUAAUUGAAGUAGCGAUUAUCCAGGCUUGUAUCCUGGGGGCUGAUGAGGAGUAGGGUUUCUGGACAACUUAAACAGAUCCAGAGUUAGUCGAUCCUAAUCUCAAUAAUGGGAGAAAGGGAGUACAGUUGAUAUUCUGUAACUGACAACAGUUCGCGGCAACGCAUACUAUUUUUCUCCGCCAAUCUUAUACCGUUGGUAGGGAUCUCUUUCCUACAUGACAGUACUAAUACCCAGGGAAACUGGUCAUCAGGCGAACUGCGGCGUUCUGCUGGCAAAACAUAGCUUCGGUUAUGUCAAUGGCUAUUGGAUUGGUCCAUGAAGCGAAAAAUAGUUUACUGUGUCACUCGUACCGAUAACCGCAUCAGGUCUUCUAGGUAAGUAGCCUAUGGCCAUUGAGGCAUGAUAGUUCAGGGAAUUCGGCCAAUUAGAGCUGUAACUUCGGGAUAAAGCUUGGCUCUGAUGAAAAUCAGAACCGAUUGUUACGCGGAGAGCCCAACUGUUUAAUAAAAACGUAGUGUCGCGCUGUGGUAGUAUAGCCAGUGAACGCGACAUGAAUCCUGCUCAGUGCUGUGUCUGUUAAUAUGGUUCAAGCCAACGAAGCACCGGUAAAUAGCUGGGGUAACUAUGACUCUUAUCAAAGUAGCGAAAUACCUCGUCACUUAAUUAGUGACCUGCAUGAACGGAGCUAUGAGGUUCUCACUGUCCCAAACUGUCUCUCAGCGAACCAACUGUAGUGGGAACGGUCACUAGAUAUCCAGCGGGGAAAGAAGACCCUGUAGAGCUUCACUUUGGUCUAGUCUUGUAUAGUUCCUGCGGGGGUGUAGACUAGGUGGAGAGCAAU